AGCCUUAUAGUUAAGUUAACGUUAGAUUGCAAAUCUGAAGAUGGAAUUAUUUUUCUAAGGCUU
rnacentral:tRNA from 1 species